GGCCAGCUUUUGGUUACUCGGGUCUCCGCCAAGCGUGGGAGACCCGGUAGGCUCUAGCCUGCGAGCUGGGAUUCUGAGCUACGCCACAAACCCCAGCUGAACGCAUAGAGGCCUGCAGACCACUUGAUCACUCAGCCAGGCUUUUCUCGAGGUCCGAAAACACUCGCUGUAAAACAAACGCGGACAGCAGGCUUUUUGCCCAACCCUUCCCGGGGCACCUUGCAAACCUGCUUCCAUUCCAAAGCCACAGACCCAGGGAUGAGGAGAAGGGACUGGAAGGGCACCAGAGGACCCAUCUUUCUCCAUCGCAACUCCUCCCUCCCUUCCCUGACCUCCACUGUCGUCCCCCACACCCUGAAUCCUAACGAAUUUGGAAUCUUCCACCGACCAGCAUAAACCAGGACGUUGCUAUUGGGUAAUUUAUUUAAGCUCAUUUUUGCCAAUCUACAAAGUACAGAUUUGCUUCAAAGUUAAGAAUUUUGAUGUAAGCUCUGGUGGCUCCACUCUACCGAUGGAACUUUCAUCACAGCAAAUAUACAUGUGUGAAGGACCUCAAUCAGCUUCCAAAGUGGUUGAGAAACCCAAGGGCACGUGACCUCUCCUGUGGUGCCAAAGUAUGGGAGAUGUUGGAAGCACUGGGGAUCAGCCAGCAGCCUAGAUGCCUAAAAAGAUAAGGAGUCCUAACUUGUGUGGAUCCAUUGAAGUCAAGUGGUGAAUAAAGACAAUUACCUAGAGAAUUCAGAUAAAAGUAAAACCAAAACCAUAUCUAUUUGUAUGUAUGUUCACAUCCAUUUUAUGUUACAUACACCACACACACACACACACACACGCACACA